UGUUACAUCUUUAAAUUUGGAGAGGCAUUUAAAGUAGGAUGGGCAAAGUGAAAAGGAAAAUAUAUUGUGACUCCCCAAUAGUCCCACAUCGGAUGGGAAUGGGAUUAUCAUUGGGUUUAUAAGAGACUUAGACACUAGUAGUAAUAACUGGGCUUAAGCAUUUUGGGCCGGUUGUUGGGCCCAACGAGUUAUUGUUGCUAGUGAGCUGGGUCGUUACAUUUGGUAUCAGAGUCGGUUCACCAGUUGGACAUGUGUGGCGAGUCUCGGCUGAGCCAGGUCUCGAUCUCGAGCUAGCGAGACGAGUCUCACAUCGCCUGGUGAUCUUGGGCUGUGUGUGUGAUUGGACUGACGAGGACGUCAGGGCCUUAACAGGGGGAGUCUGUGACACCCCAAUAGUCCCACAUCGGAUCAGAAUUUAUAAGAGACUUAGACACUAGUAAUAAUAACCGGGCUUAAGCAAUUUGGGCCGGUUGUUGGGCCCAACGAGUUAUUGUUGCUAGUGGGCUGGGUCGUUACAUAUAUAUAAGAAAAUUUUCCGCAUUUUACACUUAUAUCUUUACCCAAAUCUUUCUUGAAAACACAAAGGGUAAAUUUCAAUUUACUCUAUUGUGAUUUAACACAUUUUCACUUUGCCACCUUGUACAGGUUAAAAAGUUGCACUUAACUAUCCUAUGGUUUAAUAUAUUUUUACUUCGCCACCGUGGUUUAAAAAAGUUACACUUAACUAUCCGAUGAUUUUAUUUAUUUAUUUUUCAAUGUAAAGACCUAUUGUUAAAUAGAGUACUACCCUAUGAUUUUCGAAAAAUUUUAUUUUACAAUUCUAUUUGAUGAUAAGAUUUUUCAGUGAAAUAAAAAUAAAACCACAAGAUAGUUUAGUACAAUGUAUUUUUUGAACCACAUGGUGACAAAGUGAAAAUGCCUAAAACACAGGAUGACAAAUUGAAGUUUGUCCAAAAUUAUAAUUUUUCUUGUCUUUUUAAGGGGUUGUUUGAUUGGAUGUAAC
rnacentral:lncRNA from 1 species